rnacentral:lncRNA from 1 species
UGUGAGAUUGGAGAGAGAAGGAAACUGAGUUGAUUUGCUUUGAUGGUGUGUUUUGGAGUGUGGAAGGAAGUAGAAGAAAGGAGAAAGAAGAAAAAUACAGAAAUUGGAAAAGACAAGAAAAGAAGAUCAGGUGGUGACUGAUAGCAACUAUCAGUCCAAAUUAUCAACACAAACCAACAACCAUUCCUCUUCGGUAUGAAUUUAAUCAUUCUAUAUUCCUUUCAUUUGUUUGGUUUAGCAUUUUUACAUUAUUGGGUUAAUGAUUGGAAAUGUAUAUAUAUUUUUCAAUUAGUUUUGGGUUAAUAAAUCAAUAAAAAGACUCUUUUUCAAUACAUUUUAUAUACUACUAUUAAAAUGUAAUUUAAUUAUUAUUUAUAGAAAACAAAAUUAUAUUUUAAUAAUUAUGUAGUGAAACUAGAUUGCAUUACAUUCUAAUAGUAACAUGUAGAAAUUCAUCUGAAGUAAAAAAAAACAAAAAAACAGUAUAAAAUAAGUUUCAAAAACUUAUAUUGAUUUAUUUAAAAUUUAUCACUAAAUUGAAUUCUCCAUACAUUCUGGAGGAUGAAAUUGACCAUUCUAUCUAUUUUAUAAUUUAUCUCUUUUUGAAAGAACUAUAAUUUUGUUAAUAUUUUUUAAAAGGUUAUUUAGUGUCAUUGUUUUUAUUUUUGAAAAAAAGGAGCGAUUUGUUAAUGUUUAAUUUAUAUCCUUAUUUUUAAUAUUUUCUAACAAAGAAAAUCAAAGAGCACAUAGAUAAUAUAGUGAAAUGCAUUUUUUUCAAAAUUAUAAAUAUUCUAAAAUAGAAAUUAUUACUAAGUGGACUCUUAUACCAUAUUACGAGGUGGACUUUAAGGUUAACUCAAUCUCAUAAAACAGGCUCAUGAGGUUGAGGUUUGCAUCCAUCUAUAUACAACCCUAAUCUCUAGUAGAUGUGGGAUCUCUAACAGAAUCUCUAGGAUCUCUAACAGAAUCUCUAGGAUCUCUAACAGAAUCUCUAGGAUCUCUAACAGAAUCUCUAGUAGAUGUGGGAUCUCUAACAGAAUCUCUAGUAGAUAUGGGAUCUCUAACCGAAAUAUUAUUUAUGAAAAGUGUUUAUUCAUAUUUUUCAUUUUUAUUAUUAUUAUAUUUAUAUUCUUUUAAAAAAAGAAAUAAAAAAUUAUUUGAUAAAAAAAAUAACAACUACUUCACGUAAAAACUUUCGAAGUUAACAAUAUUUAGUUUUAUGUUUCACGAACUAUUUCACAAAUAAAAUUUAAAACUGUUUUUUAUAAAAUGACAAUAUAUUAAUAUUAAAAAAAACAGUUUUUAAUUAAUUAUAAAAAUAAUUAAUCAUUUAAUAAAUAUUUUAAAAAUAAAAAAUUAAUAAUAAAAAAUUAAUAGGAAUAAAAUGAAUAUAUAGAUAUAGAUUAUAAAUUAUAGAUAUGUAGCGUAAUUUUUUUUUUAAAUUAAUAGUAGUAAUGCAUGCUUUCAAUAUAAUCAAUAGGAAUUUAAAAAAUAUAUUAAUAAAAAUAAAUUAUGAAAAUUUUGUAGUUUUAUUCAAUAUUUUAAUGUGUUAUAUACUUAUUUUAAGUAUUUUAUAUUAUGGCUUAAUUGUAUAUUUUAUUAUUAUUUUCUAAAUUUAUUACUAUUUUUUGUCUUUACAUAUUUUACCUAUUCAUUAAAUUCUAGCUUAUCGUGAAAAAGGAAAGACACAAAAGAAUAUCGUUUUGUUAUUAAAAUGAGAUAAUUUUGGCAAGAAGGAAGGGAUAUCUGCAUGACUUCGGCCCUUGGCUCCUGAUUUUUUUCUCAUAAGAAUGUAGAUGAAAUUUAAUACUAAUAUAUUUUUUAUUUAAUGAGGUAGAUUGUGUUGAUGAUAAUAUUUAAGUUUACUUUUUUUUAUAUAUUUGAAUAUAGUAACACGUUUUCCUCUUAUUAGAUAAAUAAAUAUAUAUAUAUAUAUAUAUUAUCUUUAUAAUUCACCAAAUUAUAAAUACAGAUUUCACUUUUUAAUAUACAAUUUUAUAAAAUAUUAUUUAAAAAAAUAUUAUUAUAUAAAAAUCAUUUAAAAAUUCAAGCCCUGCAUCCUGAAUAUACUAGUAAAUAGAUAGAUGGAACAAUUAUUGUACAGUUAAAUUUCCAUCUAACUAUCAGAAUACAUUAAAGCAUGCUGUUGUCAAAAUCAAAAUCUAAAAUGCGUCUUAGCCACGAUAAAAAAUAUUCUAAUCUUUACAUAAACGGAGAUAAAUAUUUCAACCACACUUUAUACACUCGAAAUUCAUAAUAAUAUAAAAUCUCCUUUCCCCAAAAUAAAAGACUUUAAGAGAAUGAACUUAGUGUGAUAUGAUAUAAACAGCCUAUAUUUACACAGAAAUGUAAUACUUGCUUUGUAGAUACCAUUCUCAUUUUCUCUUGUAAUUGUAGGAGGCUUCCUC